rnacentral:rRNA from 1 species
UGCCAGCCGCCGCGGUAAUACGGAAGGUCCAAGCGUUAAUCGGAAUUACUGGGCGUAAAGCGCGCGUAGGUGGUUUAUUAAGUUGGAUGUGAAAUCCCCGGGCUCAACCUGGGAACUGCAUCCAAAACUGAUUCACUAGAGUACGAUAGAGGGAGGUAGAAUUCACAGUGUAGCGGUGGAAUGCGUAGAUAUUGUGAAGAAUACCAAUGGCGAAGGCAGCCUCCUGGAUCUGUACUGACACUGAGCGGACAAAGCGUGCCUAGCGCGUAUUACUGCGGA